ensembl:lncRNA
CAGGGCUAAAUACACUCUGACACCACGCUACACAGAUGCCAGAUUAAGAGAUCGGAUAAUGGGCCUCUGUCAGAGCCACUCAUUCUAAAUCUCCUCCAUAGCCCAAGUCCAGAAAUCACUCACUGUCACUAUUCUUUAUCUUAAUCCUCAGCCACUGAUUUGCAAUGAUGACGAUGGUGAUGAUGAUGACAUUUAUAAUUAUAGUGAUGAUGAAGAUGAUGGUGAUGAUUAUAGUGAUGAUGAUGGUGAUGAUGAUGAUGAUGAUGGUGAUGAUGAUGACAUUUAUAGUGAGGAUGGUGAUGAUUAUAGUGAUGGUGAUGGUGAUGAUGAUGGUGGUGAUGAUGAUGACAUUUAUAGUGGUGGUGAUGAUGAUGAUGAUGAU